rnacentral:rRNA from 1 species
AUACGGAGGGUGCAAACGUUAAUCGGAAUUACUGGGCGUAAAGCGCGCGUAGGCGGCUUGUUAAGUCGGAUGUGAAAGCCCCGGGCUCAACCUGGGAACUGCAUUCGAUACUGGCAGGCUAGAGUAUAGUAGAGGCAAGUGGAAUUCCGGGUGUAGCGGUGAAAUGCGUAGAUAUCCGGAGGAACAUCAGUGGCGAAGGCGACUUGCUGGACUAAUACUGACGCUGAGGAGCGAAAGCGUGGGGAGCAAACGGGAUUAGAUACCCCGGUAGUCC